rnacentral:rRNA from 1 species
GAUGAACGCUGGCGGCGUGCCUAAUACAUGCAAGUCGAGCGAACAGACGAGGAGCUUGCUCCUCUGACGUUAGCGGCGGACGGGUGAGUAACACGUGUAUAACCUACCUAUAAGACUGGGAUAACUUCGGGAAACCGGAUCUAAUACCGGAUAAUAUAUUUAACCGCAUGGUUCAAUAGUUAAAUACGGUUUUGCUGUCACUUAUAGAUUGAUCCGCGCCGCAUUAGCUAGUUGGUAAGGUAACGGCUUACCAAGGCGACGAUGCGUAGCCGACAUGAGAGGGGGAUCGGCCACACUGGAACUGAGACACGGACAAGACUCCUACGGGAGGCAGCAGUAGGGAAUAUUCCGCAAUGGGCGAAAGCAUGACGGAGCAACGCCGCGUGAGGGAUGAAGGUCUUCGGAUCGUAAAACUCUGUUAUUAGGGAAGAACAAAUGUGUAAGUAACUAUGCACGUCUUGACGGUACCUAAUCAGAAAGCAACGGCUAACUACGUG